UACCUCCACACACCAUGACUUGCAGAAAAAGCAUACUCCAAAAGAAGCUGAGUCAUGCCUGCUCCAUAGCCAUCAGUUCAAUAUGCAACUUUCCUCUGAUUGGUCACAGUACUGUUGCCACUUUGAUAAUGAUCAUACCAUGUCAUUAUCUGCCAACAUUAACAGAAGCACUUCAGUCAAAAUAUUGGCUAGCAGAUAGGGUGGCUCCUGUGGGAAACUAAAUACUGCUACAGAG